CGAGUUUCGCUACCCGGCAAUAUGCAAUCGGGUGCCGAAAUGCACCCGUUUUGCAUCAUUUUUCGUUCCGGAACCGAAUGCUCAAAAACACUCCCAAACAUGUUCUAGGGUAUAAUUAGGAAGAUUGCAUGCGUUCGUUGCGAAAAAAUCCACCCGAGUUUCGCUACCCGGCAAUAUGCAAUCGGGUGCCGAAAUGCACCCGUUUUGCAUCAUUUUUCGUUCCGGAACCGAAUGCUAAAAAACACUCCCAAACAUGUUCUAGGGUAUAAUUAUGAAGAUUGCAUGCGUUCGUUGCGAAAAAAUCCACCCGAGUUUCGCUACCCGGCAAUAUGCAUUCGGGUACCGAAAUGCACCCGUAUUGCAUCAUUUUUCGUUCCGGAACCGAAUGCUCAAAAACACUACCAAACAUGUUCUAGGGUAUAAUUAUGAAGAUUGCAUGCGUUCGUUGCGAAAAAAUCUAAUCGAGUUUCGCUACACGGAAAAAGUGCAUUCGGGUGCCGAAAUGCACCCGUUUUGCAUCAUUUUUCGUUCCGGAACCGAAUGCUCAAAAACACUCCCAAACAUGUUCUAGGGUAUAAUUAUGAAGAUUGCAUGCGUUCGUUGCGAAAAAAUCCACCCGAGUUUCGCUACACGGAAAAAGUGCAUUCGGGUGCCGAAAUGCACCCGUUUUGCAUCAUUUUUCGUUCCGGAACCGAAUGCUCAAAAACACUCCCAAACAUGUUUUAGGGUAUAAUUAGGAAGAUUGCAUGCGUUCGUUGCGAAAAAAUCCACUCGAGUUUCGCUACCCGGCAAUAUGCAUUCGGGUGCCGAAAUGCACCCGUUUUGCAUCAUUUUUCAUUCCGGAACCGAAUGCUCAAAAACACUCCCAAACAUGUUCUAGGGUAUAAUUAUGAAGAUUGCAUGCGUUCGUUGCGAAAAAAUCCACCCGAGUUUCGCUACCCGGCAAUAUGCAUUCGGGUACCGAAAUGCACCCGUUUUGCAUCAUUUUUCGUUCCGGAACCGAAUGCUAAAAAACACUCCCAAACAUGUUCUAGGGUAUAAUUAUGAAGAUUGCAUGCGUUCGUUGCGAAAAAAUCCACCCGAGUUUCGCUACCCGGCAAUAUGCAUUCGGGUGCCGAAAUGCACCCGUUUUGCAUCAUUUUUCGUUCCGGAACCGAAUACUCAAAAACAAACUCCCAAACAUGUUCUAGUGUAUAGUUAGGAAGAUUGGAUGCGUUCGUUGCGAGAAAAUCCACCCGAGUUUCGCUACCCGGAAAUAGUGCAUUCGGGUGCCGAAAUGCACCCAUUUUGCAUCAUUUUUCGUUCCGGAACCGAAUGCUCAAAAACACUCCCAAACAUGUUCUAGGGUAUAAUUAGGAAUAUUGCAUGCGUUCGUUGCGAAAAAAUCCACCCGAGUUUCGCUACCCGGCAAUAUGCAUUCGGGUGCCGAAAUGCACCCGUUUUGCAUCAUUUUUCGUUCCGGAACCGAAUGCUCAAAAACACUCCCAAACAUGUUCUAGGGUAUAAUUAGGAAGAUUGCAUGCGUUCGUUGCGAAAAUAUCCACCCGAGUUUCGCUACCCGGCAAUAUGCAUUCGGGUGCCGAAAUGUACCCGUUUUGCAUCAUUUUUCGUUCCGGAACCGAAUGCUCAA
rnacentral:lncRNA from 1 species